AGAGUUUGAUCCUGGCUCAGAGCGAACGCUGGCGGCAGGCCUAACACAUGCAAGUCGAACGAAGUCUUCGGACUUAGUGGCGGACGGGUGAGUAACACGUGGGAACGUGCCCUUUGGUACGGAAUAACUCAGGGAAACUUGAGCUAAUACCGUAUGUGCCCUUCGGGGGAAAGAUUUAUCGCCAUUGGAGCGGCCCGCGUCUGAUUAGCUAGUUGGUGGUGUAAUGGACCACCAAGGCGACGAUCAGUAGCUGGUCUGAGAGGAUGAUCAGCCACAUUGGGACUGAGACACGGCCCAAACUCCUACGGGAGGCAGCAGUGGGGAAUCUUGCGCAAUGGGCGAAAGCCUGACGCAGCCAUGCCGCGUGAAUGAUGAAGGUCUUAGGAUUGUAAAAUUCUUUCACCGGGGACGAUAAUGACGGUACCCGGAGAAGAAGCCCCGGCUAACUUCGUGCCAGCAGCCGCGGUAAUACGAAGGGGGCUAGCGUUGCUCGGAAUUACUGGGCGUAAAGGGAGCGUAGGCGGACAUUUAAGUCAGGGGUGAAAUCCCGGGGCUCAACCUCGGAAUUGCCUUUGAUACUGGGUGUCUUGAGUAUGAGAGAGGUGUGUGGAACUCCGAGUGUAGAGGUGAAAUUCGUAGAUAUUCGGAAGAACACCAGUGGCGAAGGCGACACACUGGCUCAUUACUGACGCUGAGGCUCGAAAGCGUGGGGAGCAAACAGGAUUAGAUACCCUGGUAGUCCACGCCGUAAACGAUGAUUGCUAGUUGUCGGGAUGCAUGCAUUUCGGUGACGCAGCUAACGCAUUAAGCAAUCCGCCUGGGGAGUACGGUCGCAAGAUUAAAACUUCAAAGGAAUU
rnacentral:rRNA from 1 species